CUCCUACGGGAGGCAGCAGUGGGAAUUUUGCGCAAUGGGGGAAACCCUGACGCAGCAACGCCGCGUGGAGGAUGAAGCCCUUGGGGUCGUAAACGUCCUUUCGAUCGGGAAGAUAAUGACGGUACCGAUAUAAGAAGCCCGGCUAACCUUCGUGCCAGCAGCCGCGGUAAUAC
rnacentral:rRNA from 1 species